UACGUAGGGGGCAAGCGUUGUCCGGAUUUAUUGGGCGUAAAGAGCUCGUAGGUGGUUCGGUAAGUCGGAUGUGAAAUCUCCAGGCUCAACCUGGAGGGGUCAUUCGAUACUGCCGUGACUAGAGGUCGGUAGGGGAGUGUGGAAUUCCUGGUGGAGCGGUGAAAUGCGCAGAUAUCAGGAGGAACACCCGUGGCUAAGGCAGGUCUCUGGGCUGUAACUGACGCUGAGGAGCGAAAGCAUGGGGAGCGAACAGG
rnacentral:rRNA from 1 species